GAAAUGCGAUAAGUAAUGUGAAUUGCAGAAUUCAGUGAAUCAUCGAAUCUUUGAACGCACAUUGCGCCCGCCAGUAUUCUGGCGGGCAUGCCUGUCCGAGCGUCAUUUCAACCAUCAAGCCCCCGGGCUUGUGUUGGGGACCUGCGGCUUCCCGCAGGCCCUGAAAACCAGUGGCGGGCUCGCUGUCACACCGAGCGUAGUAGCAAUCACCUCGCUCAGGGCGUGCUGCGGGUUCCGGCCGUUAAACAGCCUUACAAAACCCAAGGUUGACCUCGGAUCAGGUAGGAAGACCCGCUGAACUUAAGC
rnacentral:misc_RNA from 1 species